rnacentral:lncRNA from 1 species
UGGAAUUCUACCGGAAAUUUGAUUCCCACCCAAGCCCAACCUUUCUAGUUUUGACAAAUUGCCUAGAGUAGAUGGGAUAACACCAAUGAAGUUGUUAAGGUACAAAGACAAUCUUUGAAGUUUACUGAAGCAACCAAACCAUGAUGGGAUUUCUCCAUUGAAGCUAUUGUUACCAAAGUCCAAAUACCAAAUUGGUUAACUCAAUGGGUAAAAAGCCAUGGAAACUAUUUUGAUGAAUGUCGAGCCAAGCAAGGAAAGAUAGAUUUCCCAAUUGAGAAGAAAUGGUGCCUGUGCGAUCCAUGCUUGAUAAAUUCAGAGCAGUGACUCUAUGGUGUCUAGAUCCACAUGUGACACUAAUCCAGCUACAAACGGAGGUAGAAGUAGACCAAUUGGUUGCCAAGAAAUUGUGAGGAUCAUGAGUUAUAUGAGAUUUGAUUGCUAGAAGAGCAGAUUGAUAAACGGUGAUGCUAGAAUAUUUUGCAGACAAAAUAACCCCAAAGGUUGCAAAUAGCAGCCCAAACAAUACAUUAAUUACAUAUUUAUUUUUACAUAUCUCAUUUUAUUUACUGUCACUAGACAUUUUAUAUAUAUAUAUAUAUAUAUAUAUAAAUUAUUAAAUAUUAAAUUUCAUAUAUAUAAAAAAAUCCACAUAUUACUUAUUUUAUUAAUACAUAAUAAAUCGUUUAGAUGAUUUCAAGUUAAAAAAAACAAACAUAUAUUUUAGAUUUUAUGUGGAUUCUUUUAAGUUCAGUAUUCAAAUUAUUCAGAUUUCCAUCAUCAAAGUCGAAUAGUUUGUAAUUCAAAUUAUUGCUCUCUUUUUACUUGUACCAAUAUUUCCUAUAAUUUUCUUAUGUUAAAAUAGUUAAAGUAUUAAAUAUAUAAUUAAUUGGAGAGAAGUCAAAAGCUAAUUAAUAAUAUAUAGGGAUUGCAUAAAUGUAACAACAAAAAGAAAAAAAAAUCAAAGCUACUUCAUGGUUGUAUUUUGUGAGGCUGUGGAAGUUGAAAGAGUAAUAAUUUUAAGCUGUCUAAUGAAAAUAUUAAACUAAAACUUUAGUAGAGUUUAAUUAUAUAUUAUAUUUUAAUUUUUUAAUAAAAUUGCAUAUUUUAAAUCAAAAAAUAUUUUAAUCAAAUCAUCUGUAUUAGUUUUGAAGUUCAGGCUUAUAUAUAUAGAAUAUAUAUUGAUUGAGUGUAUAACUUCAACUUUAUUUGGAAGAAAAAUUGGAAAUAAAUAAUAUUUGCUAUACACAUGAAUGUGUAUAAAAUGAAUGAUUAGUAGAGUUUAAUUAUAUAUAUAUAUAUAUUAUAUUUUAAUAUUUAAUAAAAUUACAUCUUUUAAUUCAAAAAGAUAUUUUAAUCAAUCAAUUUUAUUAUUUUUCGAGUUUAGGCUUAUAUUUAUAAUAUAUAUGUCGAGUUAGAAAUACUACAAAAGGUUGACAUUUUUUAAAAGUAUGAUAAUUUGAAUAGAAGUAACAUAUGCUAAUGUAGAGUAAUUGUUCCAUAUAAUCCUUUUUAUGAUGAAAUGAUUGCUUAGUUUACUUCAUAACUUCUUACACUUAGACAUAAUAAUGAGGAAAUUAUUUUAUUUUAUUUACUUAAAAAAUUGCAUAAAAUUAAUAAAAAAAAGAGAAUAAAAGAAACAUGAAAUUAUACCUGUCAAUUUGUUAUUGCUAAGAUGAAGAAAUUGGAGAGAAGUCAAGUUUCCAAUAACAAGAGGAAUUUCACCUGAAACGUAUAAUUAAAUCGGUCAAAAUUUGCAAAUAUUUUCCUACCGAACCCUUAAUUUAUUUGUUCAUAUUAACGUUUGUUUCAUUUACCUAUUUUUAAAUAUGCAAGUUUAGUUUAGUCUUAUAGUACUUAUGAUAACCCAAAAAUAUUUUAAUUAUAAUACUCAAAUUAACAAUAAAAUUAAAAAAUAUUUAUCUUUGUGCCAGAAAAAAAACACCGCAUAGAUCAUAAAAAGGAAAAACUAAAACAUCCAAAAGAAUAUGUCAAACACUAAACACAAAAUUCAUAGUUGUAGAGGAGGAUUAGAUACAUUGGUCCCAUAAUAUGUCACUCAAAAUCUCAAAUUCAUCCAACAAAAAGAAAUCAUCACUUUAGUUAAUUAAAUCAAGAACAAAUGAAGUUAUGGAUGAACAAAUAUGGGAAGCAAAGAAAUGUGAUGGAUCAAAAGGGACGGAUAAGCUAAUUUCUGCCAUAAGGUAGAUGGUGAACUUAGGAUGUGGAGUUCCAAUAAAUACCUAAAAAUACCUAAACUUUUGGCAAUUCAAAUAGAUUAUAAUAAUUUUUAAUUACUUAAAAAUAUUGCAUAAAUUUAAUAACAAAAAGGAGAAUAAAAGAAACAUGAAAUUACACCUGUCAAUUUGUUAUUGCUAAGAGAAAGGUAUUGGAGAGAAGUCAAGUUUCCAAUAACAAGAGGAAUUUUACCUGAAACAUAUAAUUAAAUCAGUAAAUAUAUAAUUAUUUUUAUUAAUUAUUUUAAGAGUUUAAUGUUGAGCAUAUUAGUGUCUGUUUCAUUUACCUAUUUUUAAAUAUGCAAAUUUAAUUUAGUCUUAUAAUAAUAUGAGUAAUAUUGGGCUCCAACCACAAUACACGGUAAAAAAUGAAAGCCAGAAAAAUGCAAGACUGCAUGUCUACACCAUAUUAUUUUUAUAAAUAAAAGAGUAAUCUCUCUCUAUAUAAAUAAAUGAGUUGGGUUGGAUUCCAUUUAAUUGAAAAUGAGUUGGAUUGGCUGAUUAUUUGAUUUUGGGUUAAAUGAAAAUCAACUUCAGCCUGGAUGUAGGUAUUGGGUUUAAUGUAACUUAUAUAAAGAGUUUAGUAUGUCGCUUUAUUUGACUUAUUUGGUUUGGACACUCAAAUUUGAAAUUGAUCAAUUAAACCAAUAGAAUUGAGUCUCAACUAAAUAAAGUGAAAACUCAACUAAAUAGAAUUGGAUUAAAGUGAUUCAAUUAAUCAAAUUUUCACAUACUUAUAACUAUCGUGAUUCAUUCAUAUUAUUAUUCUCAUACUAUAAUCAUGUUAUGUAAUAAAAUUGUGUAAUAAAGUACUUGAUUUUGUUUUCCUAACUUGAUGUAUUUGGAAAGAUCGAAGCUUUUUUCUAUUUUAGGGUGUCUCUUGGAGCACAGGUGAGAUUAUUAAGAUAUUAUAUAUUUUGGGCAAAAUAGUUUGUUUCUUUUCAUAAGGAAGACAUUUCUAGACAAAAAGAACAAAAGUUAGCAGUUGAGAUGUCAGAAAGUUGGAUCAAUCUUUGCACUGAUGGGGCGGUCCAAAUUGCCCUGGGUGAUUCUAAAGCGGGGGAAGUCAAAAGAAAUGGAAAAAGGGAGUGGAUUAUGGGAUACAACAAAAAUCUAGGCAAAUGCUCAGCCUUCAAUGCUGAACUAUGGGUAGUUCUUGAUGGAUUAGCUCUCAUUCACAAAGGGCGCUAUGAUGGUGUAUUGAUACAAACUGAUAGCUUGGAGGUGGUUAAAGCCAUUCAGGACUCCUCUCCCUCAAGCUUGAAUUCUACCCUCAUCAGACGUAUAAAUGUACGUUCAUGGGCCAUUCAACAUUUUCCUAGAGAACAUAAUAAAGUUGCCGAUUGCUUGGCCAAAAUGGCCUUUGAUACGAAUAUGUCACUUUAGUUAAUUAAAUCAAGAACAAAUAUAGUUAUGGAUGAACAAAUAUGGGAAGCAAAGAAAAAUGAUGGAUCAAAAGGGAAGAAUAAGCUAAUUUCUGCCAUAAGGUAGAUGGUGAACUUAGGAUGUGGAGUUCAAAUUAUUGAUAUUUUUCUUAUUCUUAUAUUUUUCUAAUUUUAAAGUAGUUAAAGGAUUAAAUGUGUAAUUAAUUGUUUUAAGCCAAAAGUAUUAUAGUAAUAUAAAAAGAAAAUAUGAGUAUAUAAAGAAAUACUCAAAUUUGUUUCUUAUACUCAAAAUGUUUACACAUAAGACACAAUAAUAUUUAUAACUUUUUGUAAUGAAAUAAUAUUCAAAACUUCAACUUUAUUUGGAAGAAAAAUUGGAAAUAAAUAAUAUUUGCUAUACACAUGAAUGAUUAGUAGAGUUUAAUUAUAUAUAUAUUUUUUAUAUUUUAAUAUUUAAUAAAAUUACAUCUUUUAAUUCAAAAAGAUAUUUUAAUCAACCGUUUUUAUUAGUUUUCGAGUUCAGGCUUAUAUAUAUAAUAUAUAUGUCGAGCUAGAAAUAGUACAAAAAGUUGACAUUUUUUGAAAGUAUGAUAAUUUGAAUAGAAGUAACAUAUACUAAUGUGGAGCAAUUGUUCCAUAUAAUCCUUUUUAUGAUGAAAUGAUUGCUUAAUUUACUUCAUAACUUCUUACAUUUAGACAUAAUAAUCAGGUUUUAAUCUUUUAAGAACUUUUAUUUUAUUUACUUAAAAAUUGCAUAAAUUUAAUAAAAAAAAGAGAAUAAAAGAAACAUGAAAUUAUACCUGUCAAUUUGUUAUAGCUAAGAUAAAGUGAUUGGAGAGAUGUCAAGUUCCCAAUAACAAGAGGAAUUUCACCUAAAACAUAUAAUUAAAUCGGUCAAAAUUUGCAAAUAUUUUCCUACCAACCCCUUAAUUUAUUUGUUGAGCAUAUUAGUAUAUGUUUCAUUUACCUAUUUUUAAAUAUGCAAGUUUAGUCUUAUAAUACUUAUGAUAACCCAAAAAUAUUUUAAUUAUAAUACUCAAAUUAACAAUAAAAAAAAUAUUUAUCUUUGUGCCAAAAAAAACACCGCAUAGAUCAUAAAAAGGAAAAACUAAAACAUCCAAAAAAGCACUAAACACAAAAUUCAUAGUUGUAGAGGAGAAUUAGAUACAUUGGUCCCAUAAUAUGUCACUCAAAAUCUAAAAAUCAUCCAACAAAAAGAAAUCAUCACUUUAGUUAAUUAAAGCAAGAACAAAUAAAGUUAUGGAUGAACAAAUAUGGGAAGCAAAGAAAAAUGAUGGAUCAAAAGGGACGAAUAAGCUAAUUUCUGCCAUAAAGGUAGAUGGUGAACUUAGGAUAUGGAGUUCCAAUAAAUACCUAAACGUACCUAAACUUUUGGCAAUUCAAAUAGAUUAUACUAAUUUUUAAUUACUUAAAAAUAUUGCAUAAAUUUAAUAACAAAAAAGAGAAUAAAAGAAACAUGAAAUUAUACCUGUCAAUUUGUUAUUGUCAAGAUAAAGCACUAGAAGAGAAGUCAAGUUUCCAAUAAUAAGAGGAAUUUCACCUGAAACAUAUAAUUAAAUCAGUAAAUAUUUGUAAAUAUUUUCCUAGCAAACCCUUAAUUUAUUUGUUGAGCAUAUUAGUUUUUGUUUGAUUUACCUAUUUUUAAAUAUGGAAAUUUUGUUUAGUUUUAUAGUACCUAUUUUAAAAAUAUAUACCUGAUAAUAUAUAACAACUAAAAAGGGAUUGCAUAAAUGUAACAACAAAAAGAAAAAAAAUAAUAUUAUACUUGAUAAGUUGUUAUUAGAAAGUUCAAUAACUUCGAGAGUGGUCAAGUUUCCAACAGUUGAUGGGAUUUCACCUAAAAAUAUAAAUAAAUAGGUCAAAAUAUCUUGGUGCUAGAAUUAUGUUAUCUUUUUUUAAAUUUAUGUUUAAUGUAGAUAACUAACUUAGAAGUAACCGAGGAUAUAGAGAAAUUUUAAUAAAUACUCAAACACGUUGAACUUUUGACAAUUUGUAACUCAAAUUUGUUUCUUAUACUCAGUAUAGUAUAAGAAAAAAAAAGAAAACAAUAAUAUUAUACUUGAUAAGUUGUUAUUAGAAUGAUCAAUAGCUUUGAGGGUGGUCAAGUUUCCAAUUGUUAAUGAGAUUUCACCUAAAAAUAUAAGUAAGUUAGUCAAAGAAAAAAUAAAGCAUCUAAAAAUAUAUGUCUUAUACCAAGAUUCUUAUAUUUUUCUAAUUUCAAAGUAGUUAAAGGAUUAAAUGUGUAAUUAAUUGUUUUUAAGCCAAAAGUAUUAUAGUAAGAAGUUAAAAGAUUGUAAAUAAUUAGUAAUAUAUAGCACCUGGUGGAGGAGGGAAAAUACCAAAAUGAGCUUUAUAAAAUGCAGUUUUUCGGGACAUCAAUCAGUCUCUCAACUCCACAAGUUUUUGCGCAAAAAUAAAAACUAACAUUAUUUAAGCACAUGAAAUGCAAUGAAAACAAACAACAGUUCUCAAGAAACAAAGUAAAUGCAACCUCAAAAAAGUUUGGUUCUGCUAGCACUGAACUUAGUGGUUAUUGUUUAAAGUCCCGCUUCACUACUUAAAACAACUGUUGAUGGAAAUUGCCUAGAGUAGAUGGGAUAACACCGAUGAAGUUGUUAAGGUACAGAGACAACCUUUGAAGCUUACUGAAGCAACCAAACCACGAUGGGAUUUCUCCAUUGAAGCUAUUGUUACCAAAGUCCAAAUAUUUCAUCCGACGCAAAUUAGUUAACUCAACGGGUAAAGAGCCUUGAAAACUAUUUUGAUGAAUAUCGAGCCAAGCAAGGAAAGAUAGAUUUCCCAAUUGAGAAGAAAUGGUGCCUGUGAGAUCCAUGCUUGACAAAUUCAGAGCAGUGACUCUAUAGUGUUUAGAUCCACAUGUGACACCAAUCCAGCUACAAACGGAGGUAGAAGUAGAUCAAUUGGUUGUCAAGAAAUUGUGAGGAUCAUGAGUUAUAUGAGAUUUGAGUGCUAGAAGAGCAGAUUGAUCAACGGUGAUGCUAGAAUAUUUUGCAGACAAAAUAACCCCAAAGGUUGCAAAUAGCAGCCCAAACAUAAAUGGAGGGAGGAAGCUUGGUUUUGCCAUAAGGUUGGACAUGGGUGUAAGGCGCAUCAUAAGGAGAGAAACAACCGAGUUUAAUACUUUUUAAUGUUAGUUCAAUAUUCUUUAAAUACUUUUCUAAUUUGAAAAUUCGUCACAUGAAUUGAUGAGUCCCAGUUGGCAUUGUAGGCAUUUUUUUGAGCAUUCUAGGCAUUUUUUUUAGCACUAAACACAAAAAUAUUUGUAACUAUUUUCCUAGCAAACCCUUAAUUUAUUUGUUGAGCAUAUUAGUGUCGGUUUAAUUUACCUAUUUUUAAAUAUGCAAGUUUUGUUUAGUUUUAUAGUACUUAUGACAACCCAAAAUUAUUUUAGUUAUAAUACUCAAAUUUUUAGUUGAAAUGAUGAUGAAAAUUAGAUGGAAUAAAAUAGUUCACGCUUAUUAGUUUUGCUCAAAUAUAGGAUACAUCAUCGAAGCCGAACAAAUAUAUAUAUAUACUUAGAAACUUUUAUUAGUUAGAAGUGAUUAGCUAAUGUCAAACAACUCAUACUAUUGCAUACAAUAUGUUUCCCUAAACUGUAUGCUAUUUAUCUCUCGCCACAAAUUAUCAAAAACACAUGUGCAUUUUAAGCCAAACAUUUAUAAUAGUGAUAAGCGCCGUAUAGAUACAAUUUCUUGCUAAGGAAUCAGCAAACACACACAUAUCUGCACAUAUUGACACACACAUAUAUGCACAUAUAGACUACUAGGAACCCAAAAAUGUCGCUAGACCCCAGAUAUAGUCUAGGUGAAAAGGGACUGAGGAGUUGAACAGUAAAGAAACUAGUAAGAACUCACAUGAUAAUGAGCUUGUUGUAACCAGAAUACAAAGAUUGGGGCAUAGUCAAGUUUCCAAUUUCUAUAGGCAUAAUUCCCUCCAAAGAGUUGUUAUGCAAUGAUAAAUACAUCAACUCUUUACACUUGAAUAAGCUAUUUGAAAUUCUACUGAAAUUUAAUUAUGUGUCAAGCUUAAUAAUUGCAAUUUAGAAAUUUGAUUAUGUGUCAAGCUUAAGAAUUGCAAUUUAGAAAUGUUAUCAAACAUGUUGAUAGUAGAUGACCUAUAAUGAGAUGAUUAGUUUUAAAACUAAUUUUUUACUGAUGAAAAUAUAUUCAAGUUUUACACAUGUAAGGAACCUGAAUAAGAAUUAUUAUGAAAAUAUAAUCAAAUGAAGCUUGAAAAAUUCCUAGGUAUUAUAGGAAUCUGCCCUUCUAAAUCAUUGUUAUAUAAUAUCAACUGUUAAAUAUUUGAGUCGAAAUUUAUUAUUUGAAAGAGUUUAAUCAUUUUAAGCUGUCUAAUAUUGAAAAUAUUAAAUUAACUUUAGUAGAGUUUAAUUAUAUAUAUAUAUAUAUAUUAUAUUUUAAUAUUUAAUAAAAUUACAUUUUUUAAUUCAAAAAAAUAUUUUAAUCGAUCAUUUUUAUUAAUUUUCGAGUUCAAGCUUAUAUAUAUAAUAUAUAUGUUGAGCUAGAAAUACUACAAAAAGUUGACAUUUUUUAAAAGUAUGAUAAUUUGAAUAGAAGUAACAUAUGCUAAUGUGGAGUAAUUGUUUCAUAUAAUCCUUUUUAUGAUGAAAUGAUUGCUUAAUUUACUUCAUAACUUCUUACAUUUAGACAUAAUAAUGAGGUUUUAAUCUUUUAAGGUAACUUUUAUUUUAUUUACUUAAAAAAAUUGCAUAAAUUUAAUAACAAAAAGGAGAAUAAAAGAAACAUGAAAUUAUACCUGUCAAUUUGUUAUUGCCAAGAUAAAGCUCUCGAAGAGAAAUCAAGUGUCCAAUAACAAGAGGAAUUUCACCUGAAACAUAUAAUUAAAUCAGUCAAAAUUUGCAAAUAUUUUCCUAGCAACCCCUUAAUUUAUUUGUUGGCAUAUUAGUGUCUGUUUCAUUUACCUAUUUUUAAAUAUGCAAGUUUUGUUUAGUCUUAUAGUACUUAUGAUAACCCAAAAAUAUUUUAAUUAUAAUACUCAAAUUAACAAUAAAAAAAUAUUUAUCUUUGUGCUAGAAAAAAACACCGCAUAGAUCAUAAAAAGGAAAAACUAAAACAUCCAAAAAAACACUAAACACAAAAUUCAUAGUUGUAGAGGAGAAUUAGAUACAUUGGUCCCAUAAUAUGUCACUCAAAAUCUAAAAAUCAUCCAACAAAAAGAAAUCAUCACUUUAGUUAAUUAAAGCAAGAAAAAAUAAAGUUUUGGAUGAACAAAUAAAUUUAAAGUCUUUAAGUUUCGAAUUUAGAAUUUUAAUAUUUAUUUAUAAUUAAUCUGCUAAAAUCCUUUUGAGUGUCAUCAGCCCUCCUAUUAGCUUUUGUCUUAGUACCAAAACUUAAACAGCUUUGCUUUGAGUGUCUUAAAAUCAUAGGCAAGGAUAUUCCAGCAUGUCAUGAUUUUCACCAGACUCGAUGAGCAGAUAAAAACUGGGUCACCUGUCUGGUAAGUUGUUCCAAGUCAUUUAACUUGGGGGGGUCCCCUCUACUUAAAGAAUGCUCCUUCACGGGCUCCACUUUUCGACCCUCCAAAACCCAAUGUCCCUAUCCAUCUCAGUCCCCACUCAAAACUUUAAAUUUUAAUUCAUCCUGGAGGGAAACAACAAAAGGCAGAGAGGGCUGCCUAGCGCCCUUUCCUAGAUAUUAUUAUCGGUAACUUCAAUUCAAAUACUAAUUACCAAACCCUAUGUGUCCAAAACCAAACAUCAAACUCCAAAUUCCGUCCAACAAUCAAACACCAAACACGAAACUGCUCAAAAACAACCCCAAUAAACCUCAAAUUUCACUAACUCGUUGUGAGGCGGAAAGGAUAUAAAGCCAAGUGCGUAGUCCUCACGCCAUGAAGUAGUUUCCUUUGCUUACCACAUCAUUUCCCAAUUCACAAUUUUUUUGCUUUCCAACGCCAAAUGUUAACUCAUUGCACUUGAUUAAACUAUUUGGAAUUCUACCCGAAAUCUUAUCGCCUCUCAACUUUAAGACUUGCAGUUUAGAUAGGUUAUCAAAUAUUUCUAACUGUAGAUGACCUACAACGAUAAUAUUAUUACCUAGUUUUGACAUUUCUAGUUUUGAGAAAUUGCUUAGGGUAGAUAGGGAUAACACCAAUGAAGUUGUUACUAUACGUACAAAUACAAGCUUUUAAAUUUUAGAAAUUAUUGUUGCCAAAGUUGAAAUAUUCUAACUGAUGCAAACUAGUGUACUCAAUUAAUGGGUAAACAAACAUAGAAACUAUUGUUACAAAUGUUGAGUUUGGCAAGGAAAGAAGAUUUCCAGUUAAGAUGGUAUGGUGUUUGUGAAAUCCAUACCUAAUGCAUCAAGAGUUGUGAUGUUUGAAUUUAUAAGUAAAAGUAAUCUAUGAGAUUUUAAUGCUACAAGGUUGAUUUGAUUAACGGUGAAAUUAGGUAGGGGAUAAGGCUAUUCAGAGAGGAGGGAAAUAGUUGAGUGUAAAAUUCUACAUGAAUUCUUUUAAGUUCAAUAUUCAAAAUAUUCAGAUUUCCAUCAUCAAAGUUGAAUAGUUUGUAAUUCAAAUUACUGCUCUCUUUUUACUUGUACCAAUAUUUCCUAUAUUUUUCUUAUGUUAAAAUAGUCAAAGUAUUAAAUAUAUAAUUAAUUGGAGAGAAGUCAAAAGCUAAUUAAUAAUAUAUAGGGAUCGCAUAAAUGUAACAAAAAAAAAUGAUAUUAUACCUGAUAAGUUAUUAUAAGCAAGAUCAAUAACUUCGAGAGUAGUCAAGUUUUCAAUAGUUGAUGGGAUUUUACCUAAAAAUAUAAAGAAAUUGGUCAAAAUAUGUUAUCUUUGUGUGUACUUGUUUUUAAGCCAAAAGUAUUAUAGUAAGAAGUUAAAAGAUUGUAAAUAAUUAGUAAGAUAUAGCACCUGGUGGAGGAGGGAAAAUACCAAAAUGAGCUUUAUAAAAUGCAGUUUUUCGGGAAUAUAGAAAGUUGACAUCAAUGAGUCUCUCGACUCCACAAGUUUUUGCGGCAAAAUAAAAACUAACAAUAUUUAAGCACAUGAAAUGCAAUGAAAACAAACAACAGUUCUGAAGAAACAAAGUAAAUGCAACCUCAAAAAAGUUUGGUUCUGCUAGCACUGAACUUAGUGGUUAUUGUUUAAAGUCCCGCUUCACUACUUAAAACAACUGUUGAUGGAAAUUAGAUCAAAAUGAAUGAAACAAUAACCAGGAAUUGUUUACCUUUGAAAUGGUUGAGACCAAGACCCAACGUCUUGAGCAAAGUCAAAUUUCCAAUUUCUGUAGGUAUACUUCCCUCCAAGGAGUUGUUAAACAAUGAUAAAAACUUCAGCUCUUUGCACUUGAAUAAACUAUUUGGAAUUCUACCGGAAAUUUGAUUCCCACCCAAGCUCAACAUUUCUAGUUUUGACAAAUUGCCUAGAGUAGAUGGGAUAACACCAAUGAAGUUGUUAAGGUACAGAGACAAUCUUCGAAGUUUACUGAAGCAACCAAACCAUGGUGGGAUUUCUCCAUUGAAGCUAUUGUUACCUAAGUCCAAAUAAUUCAUCCGACGCAAAUUAGUUAACUCAAUGGGUAAAGAGCCUUGGAAACUAUUUUGAUGAAUAUCGAGCCAAGCAAGGAAAGAUAGAUUUCCCAAUUGAGAAGAAAUGGUGCCUGUGAGAUCCAUGCUUGACAAAUUCAGAGCAGUGACUCUAUAGUGUUUAGAUCCACAUGUGACACCAAUCCAGCUACAAACGGAGAUAGAAGUAGUCCAAUUGGUUGUCAAGAAAUUGUGAGGAUCAUGAAUUAUAUGAGAUUUGAGUGCUAGAAGAGCAGAUUGAUCAACGGUGAUGCUAGAAUAUUUUGCAGAUAAAAUAACCCCAAAGGUUGCAAAUAGCAGCCCAAACAUAAACGGAGGGAGGAAGCUUGGUUUUUCCAUAAGGUUGGAUAUGGGUGUAAGGCGCAUCAUAAGGAGAGAAACAACCGAGUUUAAUACUUUCCUAAUGUUAGUUCAAUACUUCGUAAGUU